ensembl:lncRNA
GAGGCUUGUAAAACCUUGGGGUUCUGCGUAACCCACAUGCUGCAUCGCCCAGACUCAAAGGAGCUGCACAAAAUGUGCCCUUCCCAUCUUCAGGUAUCACACAGGACCGACAGUCUUCAAAAGCAAAAACUAUUUGAAGACGCCUCUGCACCAAGACAUUUUAGUGUCCCACAGCCUCACAUGCAGGACAUCUUCAUCUUUUGUUGGCCUGGAACAUCUCAGACCACAGCUGGUGCGCGUCCCACCGAACUCUUUUUCCCAAGCUCGGCGCAGAAUCACCCUGUUGCCCCUGCGGCCCCCUUUCGUAGCCUCCUCUUACCUUUUCUUUAAACAAUCCCUCCCUCUCAUCUUUUCUUUAAACAACCUUUCCCUUUCUCCAACAUGCUGCCCCACACACUCGCUAAAUGAAGUUAGUCCAGCACCCCCCUCCCCAUCCUCUUCUGCUCCCUACCAGACACACUCACAGAAUUGUUUGUUAAUAGUCCAAUUAGAUAAUUGCCAUCUUUCACUCCUUUUGCUCUCCGUUUCUCAUAAAGGACUGAAUGGCUUCGGUUGGGGGGGGAGUUCAGCAUGAAGAGGGCCUCUGGCCCUGCAAGGUGACAAGAAGGGUCCGAGCCUGUUCCCUGCUCGCAACCAUUGGUUUGAAUUGAAUCAUUGUAGCCUAAUCAAUGGUCUUAUUGGAUUACAGACCACUGCUGUUCCCCCAGAUAUUGUUGCGUUGACAAUGAAAAUAGGCGAGACUGAGUGGGUGGGUGUGUAGUGGUGUGGAAGGAAUGGAAGAGGGGUGGAGGAGGGGGGUCGCUUUGGGUGUUAGCGUUGGGAUCUCGGGCAGGUUGUUUUUUUUUAGUGGUGCUUUAACAGGUUUCUUGUAGGGUAAGGGGGCUGAGUGAUGGUAGCAUUGGGUUGGGGUUUGCAUUAGAGGUGCUGGGUAACUCAGAGUGGUUGUGCGCACUGUCCCCCGUUUGACAGAGUUCCCUUGUGUUCAUCUCUUUCUUUUGUCAAUCCGUGUUCAUUACCACUACAGAUUCCGAGCGAAGUGGAUUCCAUUUUUUUCGUAUUCCAGGUCUCUCCGCCUCCCUCAUUCUUUUUCUCUGUCUCUCUCUCUCUUUUUGCUCUCCACCGAUCUUUCCCUCUCUCUCUUUUCGCUCUUUGCUUGUGUUAGCGCCGAGGGUGCAGCGUGUGGUAUCGGGCCGUUAUCCGGGGGGAGAUUCGCCAGCCUGUUCGUAAAGUUAGCCCGACCAAACAUCUACAGCCUGAGAGCAGUGGAACGGCCAGGCAUUGAGGAAUCAAGUGGAACUUUUCUGGCGGUCCAUGAUUGCGCGUGGUGGCG